AGGGAGGGGUUUGGGCGCGGGAGCCGGGCAGGAGAAGACGGAAGUGGAGCGAGGACAAAAUGGCUGCGAAGGUUGUUGCUCCCCUCCCCCACCCACGUCCGAAUCCUCCUUUCCAUGCCCCACCUUCGUGUUCCAGACGGGCCUCUAAGUGCCCCGGGUUUCGCGAAUCUGUAUUUCAUAGCGUGGCUUUGGACAAGGGCUGACCCCGAGGGGCUGGGGCGAAGGUUCCGGCUUCAGGGUGCCACUAGGGCUGCUCGCUCACGGCCCCCCAGGAUUGGGAUUGGAGGGAGCCGCCAGGCCGCCGCGGGGUGGGGCGGGUUAGCUCGGCAGGCCUCCCAGCACCUGCAUUUCCCUACGGCAACUGUCGGGAGGCAGCCCCCGACGCAGAGGUUUAAGGGGCCCGGCUUUUCAGAACCGCCUCAGGACGCGGUCGUGUCUGGAUCCCUCCGCGGAAAAGAAGGCGAAACCGCUUCUCUGAGCCCUGACCGUUAGGCCCCUUCCCACCUCCGUCUAGAACAGAUUCGGCUUCUUGGCUCAGUCCUUCCCCAACUAGCCCAAGCCCUACAUUUCCCCGUUGUUUAUAAAAUAAACAGGUUUAAAUGGUG
rnacentral:lncRNA from 10 species